AGCGAACGCUGGCGGCAGGCCUAACACAUGCAAGUCGAACGAGACCUUCGGGUCUAGUGGCGGACGGGUGAGUAACACGUGGGAACGUGCCUUUAGGUUCGGAAUAACUCAGGGAAACUUGUGCUAAUACCGAAUGUGCCCUUCGGGGGAAAGGUUUAUCGCCUUUAGAGCGGCCCGCGUCUGAUUAGCUAGUUGGUGAGGUAAUGGCUCACCAAGGCUACGAUCAGUAGCUGGUCUGAGAGGAUGAUCAGCCACAUUGGGACUGAGACACGGCCCAAACUCCUACGGGAGGCAGCAGUGGGGAAUCUUGCGCAAUGGGCGAAAGCCUGACGCAGCCAUGCCGCGUGUAUGAUGAAGGUCUUAGGAUUGUAAAAUACUUUCACCGGUGAAGAUAAUGACUGUAGCCGGAGAAGAAGCCCCGGCUAACUUCGUGCCAGCCGCCGCGGUAACAC
rnacentral:rRNA from 1 species